CCCUGCCUUUUGUACACACCGCCCGUCGCUACUACCGAUUGAACGUUUUAGUGAGGCCUCGGGACUGGCAGCUAGGAGCUGGAAACAGCACCUUGCAGCCGGGAACUUGUUCAAACUUGAGCGUUUAG
rnacentral:rRNA from 1 species